UACGUAGGGGCAAGGCGUUGUCCGGAUUCAUUGGCGUAAAGAGCGUGUAGGCGGCCAGGUAGGUCGGUUGUGAAAACUGGAGGCUCAACCUUCAGAGGUCGACCGAAACCAUCUGGCUAGAGUCCGGGAGAGGAGAGUGGAAUUCCUAGUGUAGAGGUGAAAUUCGAUAGAUAUUAGGAAGAACACCAGUGGCGAAGGCGGCUACACUGGCC
rnacentral:rRNA from 1 species